CUACGUAGGUGGCAAGCGUUGUCCGGAUUUACUGGGUGUAAAGGGCGUGUAGGCGGAGAUGCAAGUCAGGAGUGAAAUCUAGGGGCUCAACCCCUAAACUGCUUUUGAAACUGUAUCCCUUGAGUAUCGGAGAGGCAGGCGGAAUUCCUAGUGUAGCGGUGAAAUGCGUAGAUAUUAGGAGGAACACCAGUGGCGAAGGCGGCCUGCUGGACGACAACUGACGCUGAGGCGCGAAAGCGUGGGGAGCAAACAGGAUUAGGUACCCUGGUAGUCCACGCUGUAAACGAUGAAUACUAGGUGUGGGGGGACUGACCCCCUCCGUGCCGCAGUUAACACAAUAAGUAUUCCACCUGGGGAGUACGAUCGCAAGAUUGAAACUCAAAUGAAUUGACGGGG
rnacentral:rRNA from 1 species